CUGAAAAAAAAGCCAAGAUACCAAUCUGAGUAAAUAUUUUCCAUAAGAACAGACAUCCCCCCUUCUCUGGAAAAACACACAAGCCUGCAGCAAUCAGCAAGAUGACACAAAUGGCUGACUUCACUGAGUGAGGAGGGCACCAGCUCUGACAUAGAUCAUCCCUGAUUCUCAAAGAGGUGAAGGUUAAGCCUAUACCAUUUUGUUUUGUUGGCAAAGCAAGAUUUAACAGGCCGCUUCUGCUUUCAAGAGAAGAGAAAGCAAAACAAUAUCCAGAGGAAAAGCCAGUGAUAAAGGAGAAUGUCAGGAGACUGUAACUGCACAGGACACGGUUUGUACUGAGACAUGCUCUAAGAGCAAGAUUCAGAUCAACUCACUCUAGAUGUCUGAAGAUAGUGGACAUCAAUUCCAGUACACUGAGCAUGCUCUUGCAGGCAACAUCAGAGAUCUCACUGUUUUAAGGAGUGAAAUACUGCAAGAGAUGACUGUAUCUGUCUAAUGCCUUUAGAAAGAAUGCAAAUAAUUAGCUAGAUUAGCUACCUACACAGCUAUCACUGUCAUCUUACAUAGCAGAUAUUAGGCAAGAGGAACUGUACUUUCAAGAAAAAGU